rnacentral:lncRNA from 1 species
UAGGUUUUUCAUUCAUAUAAAUAGCAAAGCGUACAUGAAGCAAAGAAAUGGAAAGUGGAGCACCAACUCCUAACAAACAUGAAAUGGGAAACGUGACAUGAAGAUUGGUUCCUAUAGUUAAGGAAGACCACUUCUUUUAUUAAUAAAACUAGAAAAUAAAUGAGUCGUGAGACUCCUUCAUGCGAGAUUCUUGCCCUUUGGUUGACGUCGUCUAGCUGAUCUCGUACUUGCCACCUCAGCACGUGCUUGACUUCUAGUAUCCUAUCAAUACCCCGGUGGUCUAAAAGAACCUUGUCCUCAAGGUUCAUGUGCAUUGAGGAAAACUUCACUUGAAUUGAUUCUCUUCCUCCCCGGUUGAUUCUUCUAGUUGUGAUGUUUUUCAACGCACUACGGCUUCCAAGACCACGCUGUCUCCAUGGUUCGUUAUUAACAAUAAUUUUUUUGAAUAAAAAGAGUUUUUGUUUUUGAGUGAAAAAGAAAUAUAAAAUCCUUUUUUUUUUUGAAAUUGAAAACAAUGGAAGAAUUAUAGAUAUUAAUCCAUACAAAAGAAAGGAUGUUGAACUUGAUCAACAAACCCGAGUAGAAAAUGGUGAAAAAAAAAGCAAUGAAAAGAACAAUAGCUGGAUAGAUCUCGAUAAACGUUGAUUCCGUAGAAUGGCCAUUCGUCAAGGUUUCUUGAUAAUCAUUGAUUUAUAGAGAAUACUGAUAACAAGUAAGAUGGAAAAAUAUUAAGUUUUUGAUACCACAAAGUGGUCCGGAUCAAAAACAAAACAUGCUCUGAUACCAAUUGAUAGGUCCCUUGCCAAGAGAUAUCUAUUGUUGAUCUAGAAACAUGGAUUUGAUACCAAUUAAGGUCCCUCUUCAAAUCAAAGAGAAUUUGCCAAAGGACAAACUAAGAACACACACUUUUCUUUGGGUAGUUAGACUACCUCUUUUUAGGUUUUUCAUUCAUAUAAAUAGCAAAGCGUACAUGAAGCAAAGAAAUGGAAAGUGGAGCACCAACUCCUAACAAACAUGAAAUGGGAAACGUGACAUGAAGAUUGGUUCCUAUAGUUAAGGAAGACCACUUCUUUUAUUAAUAAAACUAGAAAAUAAAUGAGUCGUGAGACUCCUUCAUGCGAGAUUCUUGCCCUUUGGUUGACGUCGUCUAGCUGAUCUCGUACUUGCCACCUCAGCACGUGCUUGACUUCUAGUAUCCUAUCAAUACCCCGGUGGUCUAAAAGAACCUUGUCCUCAAGGUUCAUGUGCAUUGAGGAAAACUUCACUUGAAUUGAUUCUCUUCCUCCCCGGUUGAUUCUUCUAGUUGUGAUGUUUUUCAACGCACUACGGCUUCCAAGACCAAGCUGUCUCCAUGGUUCGUUAUUAACAAUAAUUUUUUUGAAUAAAAAGAGUUUUUGUUUUUGAGUGAAAAAGAAAUAUAAAAUCCUUUUUUUUUUUUGAAAUUGAAAACAAUGGAAGAAUUAUAGAUAUUAAUCCAUACAAAAGAAAGGAUGU